GGUUGGUGCAAUAGUAAUUGUGGAUUUUGUCAUUAGUUUUAAAGGCAAAAACUGCAAUUACUUUUGGACCAGCC
rnacentral:pre_miRNA from 1 species